CAGUGGGGCAGGCUGCAUGGAAAAUAUCCGCAGGGUCCCCCAGGCAGAACAGCCACGCUCCAGGCCAGGCUGUCCCUACUGCCUGGUGGAGGGGGAACUUGACCUCUGGGAGGGCGCCGCUCUUGCAUAGCUGAGCGAGCCCGGGUGCGCUGGUCUGUGUGGAAGGAGGAAGGCAGGGAGAGGUAGAAGGGGUGGAGGAGUCAGGAGGAAUAGGCCGCAGCAGCCCUGGAAAUGAUCAGGAAGGCAGGCAGUGGGUGCAGGGCUGCAGGAGGGCCGGGAGGGCUAAUCUUCAACUUGUCCAUGCCAGCAGCCCCUUUUUUUCCAGACCAAGGGCUGUGAACCCGCCUGGGGAUGAGGCCUGGUCUUGUGGAACUGAACUUAGCUCGACGGGGCUGACCGCUCUGGCCCAGGGUGGUGGCAGUGCUCCUUUUGGACUUUUCUCUAGGUUUGGCGCUAAACUCUUCUUGUGAGCUCACUCCACCCCUUCUUCCUCCCUUUAACUUAUCCAUUCACUUAAAACAUUACCUGGUCAUCUGGUAAGCCCGGGACAGUAAGCCGAGUGGCUGUUGGAGUCGGUAUUGUUGGUAAUGGUGGAGGAAGAGAGGCCUUCCCGCUGAGGCUGGGGUGGGGCGGAUCGGUGUUGCUUGCCUGCAGAGAGGGUGGGGAGUGAAUGUGCACCCUUGGGUGGGCCUGCAGCCAUCCAGCUGAAAGUUACAAAAAUGCUUCAUGGACCGUGGUUUGUUACUAUAGUGUUCCUCAUGGCGAGCAGAUGGAACCGGGAGACAUGGAGUCCCUGGCCAGUGUGAGUCCUAGCAUUGCAGGAGGGGAGACCCUGGAGGAGAGAGCCCGCCUCAAUUGAUGCCUGCAGAUUGAAUUUCCAGAGGCUUAGGAGGAGGAAGUUCUCCAAUGUUCUGUUUCCAGGCCUUGCUCAGGAAGCCCUGUAUUCAGGAGGCUACCAUUUAAAGUUUGCAGAUGAGCUUAUGGGGGGCAAUCUUAAAAAGUCCACAGCAGAUGCAUCCGGCUCGAGGGGCCAUCAGCUUUGAAUAAAUGCUUGUUCCAGAGCCCAUGAAUGCCAGCAGGCACCCCUCCUUUCCUGGGGUAAAGGUUUUCAGAUGCUGCAUCUUCUAAAUUGAGCCUCCGGUCAUACUAGUUUUGUGCUUGGAACCUUGCUUCAAGAAGAUCCCUAAGCUGUAGAACAUUUUAACGUUGAUGCCACAACGCAGAUUGAUGCCUUGUAGAUGGAGCUUGCAGAUGGAGCCCCGUGACCUCUCACCUACCCACCUGUUUGCCUGCCUUCUUGUGCGUUUCUCGGAGAAGUUCUUAGCCUGAUGAAAUAACUUGGGGCGUUGAAGAGCUGUUUAAUUUUAAAUGCCUUAGACUGGGGAUAUAUUAGAGGAAGCAGAUUGUCAAAUUAAGGGUGUCAUUGUGUUGUGCUAAACGCUGGGAGGGUACAAGUUGGUCAUUCCUAAAUCUGUGUGUGAGAAAUGGCAGGUCUAGUUUGGGCAUUGUGAUUGCAUUGCAGAUUACUAGGAGAAGGGAAUGGUGGGUACACCGGUAGUGCUCUUUUGUUCUUGCUUCGUUUUUUUAAACUUGAACUUUACUUCGUUAGAUUUCAUAAUACUUUCUUGGCAUUCUAGUAAGAGGACCCUGAGGUGGGAGUUGUGGGGGACGGGGAGAAGGGGACAGCUUGGCACCGGUCCCGUGGGCGUUGCAGUGUGGGGGAUGGGGGUAUGCAGCUUGGCACUGGUACUGGGAGGGAUGAGGGUGAAGAAGGGGAGAGGGUUGGUUAGAGAUACAGUGUGGGUGGUGGGGGUGGUAGGAAAUGCAGGUUGAAGGGAAUUCUCUGGGGCUUUGGGGAAUUUAGUGCGUGGGUGAGCCAAGAAAAUACUAAUUAAUAAUAGUAAGUUGUUAGUGUUGGUUAAGUUGUUGCUUGGAAGUGAGAAGUUGCUUAGAAACUUUCCAAAGUGCUUAGAACUUUAAGUGCAAACAGACAAACUAACAAACAAAAAUUGUUUUGCUUUGCUACAAGGUGGGGAAGACUGAAGAAGUGUUAACUGAAAACAGGUGACACAGAGUCACCAGUUUUCCGAGAACCAAAGGGAGGGGUGUGUGAUGCCAUCUCACAGGCAGGGGAAAUGUCUUUACCAGCUUCCUCCUGGUGGCCAAGACAGCCUGUUUCAGAGGGUUGUUUUGUUUGGGGUGUGGGUGUUAUCAAGUGAAUUAGUCACUUGAAAGAUGGGCGUCAGACUUGCAUACGCAGCAGAUCAGCAUCCUUCGCUGCCCCUUAGCAACUUAGGUGGUUGAUUUGAAACUGUGAAGGUGUGAUUUUUUCAGGAGCUGGAAGUCUUAGAAAAGCCUUGUAAAUGCCUAUAUUGUGGGCUUUUAACGUAUUUAAGGGACCACUUAAGACGAGAUUAGAUGGGCUCUUCUGGAUUUGUUCCUCAUUUGUCACAGGUGUCUUGUGAUUGAAAAUCAUGAGCGAAGUGAAAUUGCAUUGAAUUUCAAGGGAAUUUAGUAUGUAAAUCGUGCCUUAGAAACACAUCUGUUGUCUUUUCUGUGUUUGGUCGAUAUUAAUAAUGGCAAAAUUUUUGCCUAUCUAGUAUCUUCAAAUUGUAGUCUUUGUAACAACCAAAUAACCUUUUGUGGUCACUGUAAAAUUAAUAUUUGGUAGACAGAAUCCAUGUACCUUUGCUAAGGUUAGAAUGAAUAAUUUAUUGUAUUUUUAAUUUGAAUGUUUGUGCUUUUUAAAUGAGCCAAGACUAGAGGGGAAACUAUCACCUAAAAUCAGUUUGGAAAACAAGACCUAAAAAGGGAAGGGGAUGGGGAUUGUGGGGAGAGAGUGGGCGAGGUGCCUUUACUACAUGUGUGAUCUGAAAACCCUGCUUGGUUCUGAGCUGCGUCUAUUGAAUUGGUAAAGUAAUACCAAUGGCUUUUUAUCAUUUCCUUCUUCCCUUUAAGUUUCACUUGAAAUUUUAAAAAUCAUGGUUAUUUUUAUCGUUGGGAUCUUUCUGUCUUCUGGGUUCCAUUUUUUAAAUGUUUAAAAAUAUGUUGACAUGGUAGUUCAGUUCUUAACCAAUGACUUGGGGAUGAUGCAAACAAUUACUGUCGUUGGGAUUUAGAGUGUAUUAGUCACGCAUGUAUGGGGAAGUAGUCUCGGGUAUGCUGUUGUGAAAUUGAAACUGUAAAAGUAGAUGGUUGAAAGUACUGGUAUGUUGCUCUGUAUGGUAAGAACUAAUUCUGUUACGUCAUGUACAUAAUUACUAAUCACUUUUCUUCCCCUUUACAGCACAAAUAAAGUUUG
ensembl:lncRNA NEAT1 nuclear paraspeckle assembly transcript 1